GGGGGAAAGGCCCCGGAUUCCCCACGAUGAUCGCGAUCACGACAAGGAAACGUAAGGCCGGGCUUAGGUCCCGUGGCCUGGCGGCCGGCGCUGGCCUGCGCUCGACACUAACUUGUGGUCCUCCCCACGAUGCGCUGAGAGAAGUGCUGCUACUGUUCCACUUUACAGGUGCGGGAACAGAUGUCCGGAAAACUCCAGGAAGCUGCGCGACUCACAGAGGUGUGUGAGCAGCGGGAACCCAGAAGCCACACCUGCCGGCUCCUGGCGAGGUCACGGAGCGGGGGGCGUCCUGCGGGGCCCUCCCUCCACGGCCCCCCUUCUACCCCCGUCAGGGAAGUCCCGCUCCCAGGACUGCCCCGCCCCGCGGCGUGGUUGCUGCAGCCCUGCACGGCACAGGAGCCGUCUCUACUCCUGCCCUGCUCCUGCGAGGGCCUGCAACGUGGGAGAGGGGCUCACUCUCAGACUCCGAACACAGAGGGCCCCCCCGGACCCUCUACUGAGGUCACGCCUCACUCUUGGCACCACAGUGGUAGCCUAGGGGCUGGUGGCCAGCCUCCCCACCGGGCUCCUGCUGCAGCCUCAACUGUCUUCCUAGAACACAAACCUGAUUACGCACGUCCCUCAUCAUAAUUGUUCUGAAAGCUGCUCCAGCAGAGGAACCCUCGAGAAAGCUGAGCUCGGACUAAUUCAAUCUACACCUAAUGGGAGGAGACAGACGGCCCUCCAGGCCUGGGAACCGCCAGACUGCAUCUGUGACACAGCAUAAUAAAGUAAUGUGACAAGGGCGGAGUGAGUAAAAAAACAGGUGUGUCCCCCGGUGACCUGGCAGGCGGGCCUGGGGUUCAGGCGGUAGGGAGCUCGCUACUCCAGCUGCAGCAGCAAAGCCUGGAACCCAUGAAUUGCCCCCCACAGUAUCAACCUCCCGUGGUUUGAAUUCUUACCCAGCAACCUUCAAACAACCAACCUGGCUCCCCAGGACCUCAGCACCAGAUUGGGGGUGUCCUGGAUGGGGUCUCAACAUUUCUGCCACUGAGAAGAGGUGCACUCACUCUUACAAAAUAACCUUGCUUUUUGGUGUACGCAUCAGUAAGGUCCGGAUAUAGCUGGCGAGAGGUCCAGGAAUGCCGUCUCUGUAUCUACAGGGCUCGGAGGUCCUGGAUUCUAGCAAAUUCAUGAAGAUUGUUGAGUCCCCACCAGACCUUCAGCCUGAGGACACUCCACCUUGCAACUGAUUCUUUCCACCUUCCCUGCCAACCAUGACCUGGAGUCCAAACUCUGCAUGGCGUCCAGAGCCUCUAAGUUCAGGCCGUUGGACAUGGCACCGCGAGCAGGUGUUCCCUCCCGCCUGACAGGGAGACCAGAGAAAGUUUCUUCAGCGCCUAAUGCAUCUCAGAGCCAACUGUAAAACUCAUUAUGUUCAGAAACUACAGAAUGGGACAAGGAUGACGAUGUUUGUCCAUACGCAUCCCUUUGAAGGCAAUCUAGGCUUUACAGCUUCCUACUCGCUUCAAAGGAGCCCUGCGUCUCUGUAAAGAUGAUGCUCAAGCCCCAGCCCUAUUGUGUUGGGACAAUGGUGAACCAGGAACCAAAGAGGGGUUGAAUGGAAGACUUCUGUGGGCACUUGAAACUAGACCUCGCUUCUCUGACUCUUCUUGGCCAGCCACAAUGACAACGAGAGAAGCUGUUGUAAGGUACACAUGCCACCAUUCCUGCCACAUGAUAUCCCUUCCCCAGGUGGCGUGAAAAGUCUCCAGUCUAGUCUCUCAAGACCCAUGGGAUUUGCCAGACACUGGCCAGUCAAGCACCACAUGCUCCACAUCUCCCUUCUAGCCACGCAAAUUGGAAUUUAUUCCCACAGAGAAACUCAAUGAGUUAAUAUCCCAAGGGCCUAAAGAGAAUUCAAGAAAAACUGGAUUUCUGUGAUCUAUCUUUUCCUAUCACCCUUCUGCACUCCCAAGACCGUCAGGUAUGGGAAUUUGGAUUACACACUGCGCAAAGGCACCGCGUGCCCUCCAUCACAGGAUGGACCUAAGACACUGUGUGUGUAGGUGUGGAGAUUCUGGGCCUUUCCAGCUGGGGCCGAAGCAUGAACACACAUGGGCACACAAGACCAUGCACAAUGGGGAAAGCUAGUAAGCAAACUCCCAGGCAGCAGCAUGGACGGGUGUCAGCGGCUCCCUGACCCGAGCAAGAUCUCGCCUCUCCCCUGCCUACCUGUCCCGGAGCCUCAGUCCCCUACUACAGGGCUCAAAACCUGACACAAUCGCCUCACCUGGGGGCCAAAAGAGGCUAGGCAUGGGUGUGGGUGUUGGAGGCCGUCUGUGCACCCGGCCUGGGGCAGGUGCAGGUGUGCUAUUCAUAGUCAGGCUUGCUGCCCUCUGGGUUCCGAGAAGCUCCCCAGAGCAAAG